CUAUAAACUGCCCCUAAGAAAUAAUUACUAUAGCAAAACUGAAGUGAGAAGCUUCUGGUUAUUUAAUACUCCCAAUUUAAUGAAGUAAACUUAUUGAUUUUUACUUCAUCACUUUUAUUGAUGAACUUUAAUAAUAGCUAUUACUGGCCUUUAAAGCUCAGAGCAGAGCUGUCAAAAUCAAUUAAAAAUUCAUGUUAGACUGAUAUACAUUUACAUAUGCAGAAAAAGUGUAAUUUUUGAUUUAUACUCAGAGCAGAUACUGAAGACUUCAAGGACGCUCUGAGCAGAGUUAGAUUAGACCCUCCCGAUAUAUUUAUAAAAGACACUGCAGAAUUUUACUAUCAAUGGUUUAAGAAUUUCCUACUUGUCUCUUUAUACCACACGAUACAAACAAAAGUCAGCUACGUUCGGCUUUUUACUAUAUUAGCUCGGCCAUUCUUAAAGUAAAUCAUAGAAAGCGUUUCAAGCUCGUUUUGAUUUAAAAAAGAAACAAAAACUGUAUCAGUUGAAAAAAUGACGCCAGAGUUUUUUUGACAGCUCAGUUCUCUGCUGUGAGCUUGAAAAGAAAAAUGCCUAUUGUGUCCUUGAUUAGAUGAGAAAACCAACAACAACAAAAUAAUGAGGUGAAUUAUUUUUGUUUUGACUGCCAAAUAUUUGUUCAGUUCUUUAAUCCCACCAUUUUUGUUAUAAUUUUUUUCGAUGAAAACAUUGUCACCAUGACGUGGUCCCAGCUGAGGUAUCGUGGAAUAGAGAGAAAUGGAAGAAACUGGUUGCACCCUAUGCUCCGGGAGGAGCUAAAGUGCUGUCACUAGCAGACGGAAACGAAGAAGAAGAAGAAGUCACCAUGAAAUGUUAUAUAUAUAUGUUAUUAAACAAACCAAUAUAUAUAUACCAAAAGAACACCAACAUUUAAUAAAAAGUUAUAACGAUUAUAGCGACAAGUCACUUCCAAAGCAAAUAAAACAUAAAUUUUGACAUUUAUUACAAAAUAAAAACGUCAAAAAAAACUCUGAA